rnacentral:tRNA from 1 species
GCGGACGUGGCGGAAUUGGUAGACGUGCUAGACUUAGGAUCUAGUGAGGCAGCUCGUGGGAGUUCGAGUCUCCCCGUCCGCA